rnacentral:lncRNA from 1 species
AGGGAUGAGAGUCUUGUGGAGGGGUAACCUGGAAGUGGGAUAUCAUUUGAAAUAUAAAAGAAUGUAUUGAAUAUAUAUAUAUAAUUAAUGAAAGCCCUUGACUUCACUUUUCAGUCUUGUGGGGAUAAAAGAAGUGUUCAAUAAGAUAUCAGUACAAUAGCUAAGGAAAUUGUAAUCUGUAAAAGCAAGUUUAUUGCAUAAUCCCUGCUGCAUAAUACCAGGAUGAUACUCACAGAGGUGAAUAUCAUUAAGCAGUUUAACCUGCAACCAUAUAUGUCAUAUAUACCUGUUUCUAUGCAUGGCAUACUACAGUAUCUUCCUUUAAUUGUGAAAAUAUAGGAGUACAAGUCCUCACCUUUCUACAUUCAUUGCAUUGUCUGAUGCUAAUAGGUUCAUGUAAGAAAAACACAUUCUCUUCCCUGAUUGUGGCUUGAGAUUUUGUUUUUUAUAUCCUCACACUUUCUCCUAGCAAUAUUGUGAUUUUUGGAUGUUCACUGACAGAUCUUUUAGUAUGAAGACCCUCUAUCCUCCUUAAAAAUUAGGAAGUAUGCAAAUGUGGUCUAAAAUGGCACUUCAUUUAGAAAGAUUUCUCUCUUUUUGGUAGAUGUCACUUUACCUAUGAUUAAAUAUUACUGUAGGGCCUCAUGACAAACUUUAUAUUUUGACAUUCUUUCUUUCUCUUUCAAGUUUUUACAGUUGUAGGUUACUCCAUAUCUGGAUACUAUAUUUACUGUGAGUCAUAUGGUAGAAACAUGAACCUUGGUUUAAGGACUUUUAGUGCUUCAGAGGCAUGAACCACAUCAGUCGCCUAAUAUCAAAAGUCUGAAAGAUAAAUAAAACAAAUUAGAGAUACAGAUCUUAAAAAUCUCAAAAUGGUAGUCUUUGGUUGGUAUCAUUUUUACUUCACAAUUGUAUGUAUGUUAUGUAUAAGUGAACAUAUGGUUCUAUAACUUUGGGUCAACAAAUAGGCUUAUACAUAUGUAAGCAUUCAAAGUUCUCAAAAAUUAUGCUUAAUUUAUAAGUCUUGAAUAGACAAACAACAAGUAGCUGUCCCAGAAGAUCUGCUGCACUCAGAGCAGUUAGUGUUGGGGCCGGCCUGUGGCUCUCAUGUCCGUGUUCGAGCCUAGAAGGCAUCUUGGAACUGGAAGAGAAGAGGGAAUCUAGGCGGGUAGAGAAAUAAUGGAACCAAGACAAGCUAGUCUGCUCAAGGUUCAAAUUUUUAAUGGUGGACACGCUUUAUAAAGGAGAGGGGAAAGCCCAUUCCUGCAAAUCAUCCUUGGAGCCCAGCUGCAGGUGACCACGUGUAGGAUCUGAUGUAGAGAACAGCUAGGCCAACUCCCAGCAGGUAGCAGCAGCUGCAGUGGCAGAACAAUCAACCCAAUAGAAACAAAGAGAACAAUACAAAGAACCAACAAAACCAAAAGUUGGUUCUUUGAAAGAACCAACAAGAUAGAUAAACCUCUAGCCAAGCUAACUAAAGGGCCCAGAGGUAGUAUCCAAAUAAACAAAAUCAAAAAUGAAAAGGAAGCCAUAACAACAGAAAUGGAGGAAAUUUAAAAAAAUCAUCAGAUCCUACUACAAAAGCCUUUACUCAACAAAACUAGAAAAUCUAGAUGAAAUGGAUGGUUUUCUAGACAGAUACCACAUACCAAAGUUAAGUUUAUCUUCAAGAGCAGAUAAACUAUCUAAACAGACCCAUAUCCCUUAAAGAAAUAAAAGAAGUCAUUAAAAACUUCCCAACCAAAAAAGGCCCAGGGUCAGAUGGAUUUAGUGCAGAAUUCUACCAGACCUUCAAAGAAGACCUGAUACCAAUAUUCCUAAAACUAUUCCAUAAAAUAGAAAGAGAAGAAACACUACCUAAUUCCUUCUAUGAAGCCACAAUUACUCUGAUACCUAAACCACACAAGGAUGCAACCAAAAAAGAGAACUUCAGACCAACCUCGCUUAUGAAUAUCGAUGCAAAAAUACUCAAUAAAAUUCUUGCAAAUGGAAUCCAAGAAACAUCAAAACCAUCAUUUACCA